UACGAAGAGGGCUAGCGUUGUUCGGAAUUACUGGGCGUAAAGCGCGCGUAGGCGGUGAUCUAUGUCAGAGGUGAAAUCCCGGGGCUCAACUCCGGAAUUGCCUUUGAAACGGGAUCGCUAGAGUCCGAGAGAGGAUGGCGGAAUUCCUAGUGUAGAGGUGAAAUUCGUAGAUAUUAGGAAGAACACCGGUGGCGAAGGCGGCCAUCUGGCUCGGUACUGACGCUCAGGCGCGAAAGCGUGGGGAGCAAACAGG
rnacentral:rRNA from 1 species